AAAAGCAAAAGAAUCCCUACUUGCUCCACUCCUCGGCUCCCAGAUUCCCAGUUUCACUUAUCCUAUUCUGGAAUUGGUUCAACCUGGAGUUAAAGAUGGCAAAGAAGCCAAGAUGGAAACAACGAAUCCAACAUUCCGGUGCUCAACGUUCCCAAGAAAUCAUGGUGAUUCCACUCCAAUAAAUACUUUAAUAAACAAUCCGGCCUAUUGCUAGAGCUGGAAUCCUCCCGGAAGCAGCUUGUGUGGCCUCAGGACCACAGGAAUGACAGGAUAUAGGCAUGGGAAUGAUGGGAUGAGGCAGUGGGAAUGAUAAAAGGCGGCCGCAACGAUGCUUGGCAUGGAAAACCCUUCUUUCCUGAUGGUUAUCCCGCUGUUCAGACCACAGGGAUGCGUUGCUAGGGAGGAAAAAGGAGGGGUGAGAGAAUUCCAGAGGGAUUUGGGGGCAGAAUAUUCUCUGGAAAGAAAUAAUCCCACUUUUUACAGCUUCAGUUUGGGAAUGAGCACAAGGAAGGGACGAAUGAGCUGCUUUACCAGCACUUGGAGCUGUUAAUCAAGGUAUUAAUCAUUCCUUGGGAAGAAACUCUGGCAAAACGAAGCCACUACGCAGGAAAACAGGUGGAUUUUCCCAUUUUUAGGGAUAAAAGGAGGUUUUGGACGCUCUGCAUCCGGAGACGCAACCCAGGGAGUCCCUUUUUCCUCUAAAAAAAAUGGAUUUAAGCCUUGACCUGUGUGAAAAUCUAAGGGUUUUUGGCACAAGGGGUGCAGCCGACCGUGAAAUCCGCCACCCCGGAACGCGAGCCGGGAUGCCGGAGCGGAUCCGUGUAUGCUGAGAGAAGGGAGAGGGUUGGUUUUUGGAUUGUGGAGGGGUGAAAAGGCCUUUUUAUGCAGCAAAUUCAAGCGCAAAAGCUCUGGAUUGGGAUUUAAUCCCAGGAAAACAAACGCUGACUUGGGAGUUUUAUGGGAUUUUGAGGAAUAUGUAUCAUAGGAAUGGAAACCACGUGUGAAGAUCUUUGGGAUUUACACUCUCUGCCUCAAAAGUGGGUGAACACAAGAGUUUUAAGUGGAAUUUUAGGGAUGGAGGGAAUGAGCAGAGGGCAAAAAGGUAGAAAAAUCAACUUUAAAAGGAAAAUUAACCACAAAACACCCAGAAAAGGUGGAUUUGGAGUGAAAUUCAGGCAGGAGUCACUCAUCCCAGCAGGAAACAACCUUCCAUGACCUCUUUCCCAGCAGGAUUUAAACCCCUAUGGUGCUGAGUUAAGCGGAAUUCUGCUCCUUUUAGGGCAGAAAUGUCAUUUUUUCGCAUUCGCUGCCUUUCCACGGAAAACCCAAGGCGAGGUUUUUCCAGCUCAAGGGGAUCCAACCUGGAUUUAACAUCCCGGGAGAAGUUUAGGGCUAAGAUCUUGCUCAGAGGAGCUGGAUCCUACCCCAGCAUCACCCCAGAGAUGCCAAUUCCCGUGAUCCCUGGUCUUUCUCCCACAAUACGGAUCGUUCCGGAUUAAUCCCAAGGGAAAGGAGUUCUCCAGCCCUCCUCGUGUUUGAUUCCGAAGCCAUCAAUCAAGAAAUAAAGGCAGCUCGGCUUUAAAAGCAGCGGGGCCUCAUUCCAGCCGUGCGGAAUGGGGCAAAAGUCAUGGGAAUGAAUCGGCUUUUUCGACCUUUGCCAUAAUUGACGUUGGAUUUUGCCACCACGGGAAGAAAAAAGUAGGAAAACGAUCCCGUUAGCCCAUCACUGGGCUUUCGCCUCCCUAAAAUUCCAUUUUUUUAAGGAAGGAUGAAGCUUGUGGUCACAGCUCAAGAUUUUUCUGGGAAUGCUAAUCCCAAAUCUUCCCACUCCUUGAAAUCCCAACAUCCUCAAGGCCGCAGCAACAGGAAACAUCCCAAAGCCCGGAAAACCAAACUGGAGUCUGAGAUUUGCUUUAAACAAGACCCAAGGAACAAUUCCACCCUUGGAAAAGAACAUUCCAAAGCGAAUCCUGGUUGGGCCUGUUGCUAUUGGGAGUUACUCCAGUUUUCCGGGCUGUUUAAUGCGAAUUUGCAGGAUGGAAAAGGUCAUUCCCUAUGGAAGAGGUCAUUCCCUAUGGAAAAAAGGAAUAAAAACAAAGAGGGGAAGAACCCACCACAGUUUCAGUGUGCUUAGUGGGAACAGUGCAGGAUUUUCCACCUGGGAAUGACAUCGAGCGGCUAAAACAGGGCGAUAGUGUGUGGGUUUGGGUCUCUGCGAACAUUUAAUCCCAAGAAAUUCCCAUUUUUGGGAUGAGGAAGGGAAGAACCAACACUGCACGUGGUGUUUUUUACUUGGACAGUGUGUGAAACCGGAGCUUUUCCCAACCUGAGCCGCGAGGGAAUGGGAAAAGGGGGACGGAAAAGCGAGGAGGCUAAGGAGGUUUGUUCAGAACUGGGUGCUUAAACUGUACAUCGUUAAUUCUGUUUCUCUAAUUAUCCGUACACUGGGAUGGGCCGGGGGGGAAUGUGUGAUGAUAUUUGGGAAUCGGUGCUUUUUGCCACCUGAUUUUUUCACUUUUUUUUUCUUUUUUGACACAUUCGGAGUGAUUUAAGAAGACUUUUAAACAUCUUUUCGUUAAACCCGGCGGGCAGCCGGGUUUUUCUGCUCACCGGAAUGGGAUGAGGAUGAAGUUUUGCCGGACAAAGACACUCACAUCGGGGUUAAAAGGGGGAAGAACUUAUCUUGGAGCCCUGCUUAUGCACAAGAGACCCUGCCGGUGGCUUCGGGAUUCGGUUGGUGGUGGGAAAAAAAGGCAGGAAAAGGCA